rnacentral:rRNA from 1 species
GACAGAGGGUGCAAACGUUGCUCGGAAUUACUGGGCGUAAAGGGCUCGUAGGUGGCCAACUAAGUCAGACGUGAAAUCCCUCAGCUUAACUGGGGAACUGCGUCUGAUACUGGAUGGCUUGAGUUUGGGAGAGGGAUGCGGAAUUCCAGGUGUAGCGGUGAAAUGCGUAGAUAUUGGGAAGAACACCUGAGGCGAAGGCGGGUUGCUGGGCCGACACUGACGCUGAGGCGCGAAAGCCAGGGGAGCAAACGGG